CCCCCGGUAGCCAAGUGGUAGAGCUCCUGCAUGUGGUGAGCGAAAGCUGGUUGUUCGCUGGUUCGAAUCCUGCCCGGUGAC